GCCGUCGUAGACCAACUGGAAGAGUCAGCGGAUUCAAAACCCGCGUGUUGGUGGUUCGAACCCACUCGACGGUA
rnacentral:tRNA from 1 species